rnacentral:rRNA from 1 species
UACUCGAGUGGCGAACGGGUGAGUAACACGUGGGUGAUCUGCCCUGCACUCUGGGAUAAGCCUGGGAAACUGGGUCUAAUACCGGAUAGGACCAUGCUUUAGUGUGUGUGGUGGAAAGUUUUUUCGGUGUAGGAUGAGCCCGCGGCCUAUCAGCUUGUUGGUGGGGUAAUGGCCUACCAAGGCGGCGACGGGUAGCCGGAAUGAGAGGUUGGUCGGCCACAUUGGGACUGAGAUACGGCCCAG